AGAUUCAAAAUACAUUAAACUCCCUCCAACUCACUGGUCGACUAACCCCCUAGUAGUUUAUUAAAUCAAUUUCUGAAUGUAGCUAAGUUCUUUCUUGAUCAAUCAAUAUUCAUUAAUAUUCAUUGUUUCAGGGGGUUUGUUAUAUAUAGAAAAGAUGUUGAUCUAAUAUUUGAGUGAACAUGGGUUCUUUUUUCUUUUUAUUGAUUGUCUUUGCUUCUGUGUUCUCUAUGUUCUAGCUGCAGCUUGAUUUUAUGAUUUAUGGGGCAAAGUCGAAUCAGAAAGGCGAUGAAGAGGGAUAGCAGAGAAAAGCCAUCAACCCUAUAAUCCGAGAGUGAUCUUCGUAAAAAUUUCACAUCUUUCUACACAAUUUUGCUGGGUUUCUCGACUCCCCACAGUGGCAAAGGAAUUGAAGACCGACAAGCUAGGAACUAAUUGUACACAGCAAUGGAACACGCAAGUCUAUUACCAUAAUCCUCAUUCCUCACUUUUACCAGUUUAUUCUUUUCACAGCAAAAAUCUUUAUGGUUUUGCUAUAUGGCUAACGAUAUUCUAUAUAGAAAACUAAUGUAGGAGAGUUAAGGAUUGGGGACAUUCGUGGUGAGAUUGAGGUGCUUUGUUAAAUGCCACGUCUCUUCCAAGUGCACGCUAAGAGAUUCAAUCCGUUAAUGCGUUUAAACCGUACUUCAUGCAGUAAUUGAGAACCAAGAUUGAGGUUCCUGGCUCUCAAGUGAUUUAGAAAAACAAGGUGAUUGCAUAGUUGUCAUUUCACGGAUUCAGGAGUCGGCUUAUAUAACUCUAUGAUGCAACUAUCCCAGCAGCAACGCCGAAGCAGAGAAAAGGCUGAAACUCCAGUAAAGAAGUCAGAAAAACGAUAUCUUCGGCAAGAUCCUUGGGACAAAGAAAACGCCGGCAAAAAGAGAAACGGAAAAAGUACAAGAACAAGAUAAUGCUGUUGUCAAUGAGUCAAUGAGCAAGGUGUACAAACAAAAGAUGCUGGAAUGCAAUCUCCGAUACAAGAUGGCCAGCGGAAAAAAGAAAAAGAAAGAUUGUUCGACCUCUCAUAGGUCAACCUCUUAGAUUUAGAGGUAUCAGAAGCAUUCAAGAAAGCUCUCACUCCGUAGCUAAACAUACGGAGGAUUGAUUUUAGGGUCCCUUUUGGUAGGAACAGUUAAAGCAUGCAUCCAUGUCGUCAAGUCUUUGUGAAGCUGAAAGAUAAUGCUACUAAAUUAAGCCGGGACCUAUUGUAAUUUUUUAAUUAGAAACCAUGGUGUGGGGGAUUCGGUUGACAUGGAAUGGGCAAAGGUUAACAAAUUUGAAGUUCGGUUUGACAGAAUUGCAAAAUGAGUCGAGGUUAAGAAUCAUUUAAAGUGUACCAAAUGGGAACUAAGUUGGUGGGAUUACUGAUAAAUGUAUAUUACCAUUGGGCACAAGAAUAAUUUCUGCAUCACCAUUGAGCAUCAUCAAACCAAGGAGACUAGGUCCCUUCGAGAGUCGCGCGAGAAGUUCAAAUUAGAUAUGGAUAAUUUAUGUGAAGAGGUUGAAGUGUAAAGUCAGAGAAGCUUUUCUGAGUUCUGAGCUACAAGACGAGAUCAAAAUCCGGGAAGCCGAGUCCACGCAGCUGUUUAGUAGAUCAUCAUAACCUACUUUCAGCUAUUUGAAAACAAGAUCAGUAUGAGAAUGUCUUAACUGGAUUAGCAUUAUGGACAGCAGUACGGCCAAGACUAACAAACAGAUAAUACCAAUACAAUAUGGACAGGGGAGUUCCAUAAGAAACGUUACUUCACAGAUGUUGUUAGAGAUUGUCCAGGAAGCCCGCAUAUCAGGAGAACAUGUACAGGUUCAUACUGAACGUGUCUAUAGUUGGAAUUGAAGUCGAUUGCAGUGGAGAUUUAUGGUAAGAACUACCAUGAUAAUGUUGUAGUUAACACCAUUUUGUACACUCAAUCUAAAUUAGGACAAUAACACAGGCUACUCCAUAUUGAGUGAGUUGAAAAUCUGAAACUGUGAUUCAUUUUGUGAGUUUAUAAAUAGUUUGCAGACUGUUGGACCAUGCUCAUCUGUCCAAAGGAUAUGAAUUCUUGAAUUCAUGUUUGCUGAUCACGUUAACAUUUUAGAUGUUAUGGACUUGAAGCUGGAGAUGAAAUAUACAUGUACUGUAUCUCCGCCCUAUUGACAUACAUCUAUUAUUCAUCCUUACUGUGUAA